AAACUCCCAGUGUCGUUGCAGGGUAGGGUGCAAUUAAAGACGAACCGGUUCUGAUAGCAAUCGUGUAUUGAAGUGCUUCAACUAGAAAAUAUUGUUAUGGUGAGUGCAAAUGGUACCCUACGGUUUCACAGGACCGCGGAUACGGACUCGGACUACGCUACUCGAACUCGGACUACUAAAGGAUCACGAUGUCAAUUUAAUAUUUCAAUUCAUGGCUGGAGGGCCUAAAACUAACCUCACUUCCUGAUGGUCCCGGGCCGGCGAUUCCGGACGGCUAUUCCGGACGGACACUCCGGCGGAUCUCUUCCUGGGCACAAUAAACUUGUCCACAGAACGUGGAAUGAAUUCACAA